rnacentral:rRNA from 1 species
CCUACGGGGGGCAGCAGUGGGGAAUAUUGGGCAAUGGGCGCAAGCCUGACCCAGCGACGCCGCGUGAGGGAAGAAGGCCCUUGGGUCGUAAACCUCUGUUGUAUGGGAAGAAGGACGUGACGGUACCAUACGAGGAAGUCCCGGCUAACUACGUGCCAGCAGCCGCGGUAAUACGUAGGGGACGAGCGUUGUCCGGAAUUACUGGGCGUAAAGGGCGCGCAGGCGGAUAUUUAAGUCAGCUGUUAAAGUCAUGGGCUCAACUCAUGGAUGCGGUUGAAACUGGAUAUCUCGAGUGCUGGAGAGGUAGGCGGAAUUCCCGGUGUAGCGGUGAAAUGCGUAGAUAUCGGGAAGAACACCAGUGGCGAAGGCGGCUUACUGGCCAGCAACUGACGCUGAGGCGCGAAAGCCAGGGGAGCGAACGGGAUUAGAUACCCCAGUAG